AUUGAACGCUGGCGGCAGGCUUAACACAUGCAAGUCGAGCGGAGUGAUGGUGCUUGCACUAUCACUUAGCGGCGGACGGGUGAGUAAUGCUUAGGAAUCUGCCUAUUAGUGGGGGACAACAUCUCGAAAGGGAUGCUAAUACCGCAUACGUCCUACGGGAGAAAGCAGGGGAUCACUUGUGACCUUGCGCUAAUAGAUGAGCCUAAGUCGGAUUAGCUAGUUGGUGGGGUAAAGGCCUACCAAGGCGACGAUAGGUAGCGGGUCUGAGAGGAUGAUCCGCCACACUGGGACUGAGACACGGCCCAGACUCCUACGGGAGGCAGCAGUGGGGAAUAUUGGACAAUGGGGGGAACCCUGAUCCAGCCAUGCCGCGUGUGUGAAGAAGGCCUUAUGGUUGUAAAGCACUUUAAGCGAGGAGGAGGCUCUUUUGGUUAAUACCCAAGAUGAGUGGACGUUACUCGCAGAAUAAGCACCGGCUAACUCUGUGCCAGCCGCCGCCGUAA
rnacentral:rRNA from 1 species